ensembl:lncRNA
CCGUGCCCUGUUUCGCGAGCCCUCACUUGGAGUUUAGAGUAGAGAACUGUCGGAGAACUGCGGGUGAAGCCAUGCAGGGGAGUGUUUAGGAUCGUCUACGCAGGAGCGCUGACAAAAUUGUUGAAAUAUCCACGGAUUUUCUUAUCCCCGCAUAAAACAGCAAUACUAGAGUGGGGUUAUGGUUGUCAAAAGAUUGAAGAAGCACGAGAGAAGAUACCGGACCUAAUGAGCAUCAGCCUGGGGGAACUUAUACAGAGGAAAGAGAGAAGAUGGACCAAUUGGAUGCUGGCGAUGGUUCCACUCAGAAAAGGCCUUGCCAUGGUC